rnacentral:rRNA from 1 species
ACGGAAGGCAGCAGUGGGGAAUAUUGCACAAUGGGGGAAACCCUGAUGCAGCGACGCCGCGUGAGCGAAGAAGUAUUUCGGUAUGUAAAGCUCUAUCAGCAGGGAAGGAAAUGACGGUACCUGACUAAGAAGCCCCGGCUAACUACGUGCCAGCAGCCGCGGUAGUACGUAGGGGGCAAGCGUUAUCCGGAUUUACUGGGUGUAAAGGGAGCGUAGACGGCAAGGUAAGUCUGAAGUGAAAUGCCGGGGCUCAACCCCGGAACUGCUUUGGAAACUAUCUCGCUCGAGUACCGGAGGGGUAAGCGGAAUUCCUAGUGUAGCGGUGAAAUGCGUAGAUAUUAGGAGGACACCAGUGGCGAAGGCGGCUUACUGGACGGUAACUGACGUUGAGGCUCGAAAGCGUGGGGAGCAAACAGGAUUAGAUACCCUGGUA